UGAACGCUGGCGGCGUGCUAAUACAUGCAAGUCGAACGGAGAUAAUAGCAAUAUUAUCUUAGUGGCGAACGGGUGAGUAACGCGUUGGUGACCUGCCCCGAAGAGAGGGAUAACAGUUCGAAAGGAUUGCUAAUACCUCAUGUGGUCAUUUGGAUUAGAUGCCUUAUGACUAAACGGAUUUAUUCGCUUCGGGAGGGACCUGCGUCCCAUCAGCUAGUUGGUAAGGUAACGGCCUACCAAGGCGAUGACGGGUAGGGGACCUGAGAGGGUGGCCCCCCACAAUGGAACUGAAACACGGUCCAUACACCUACGGGUGGCAGCAGUAGGGAAUAUUGGUAAUCUGGGAAACCGGGAACCAGCAACGCCGCGUGCGCGAUGAAGGCCUUCGGGUUGUAAAGCGCUUUUUGAGGGGAUGAGGAAGGACAGUACCUUCAGAAUAAGCCUCGGCUAACUACGUGCCAGCAGCCGCGGUAAAACGUAGGAGGCGAGCGUUAUCCGGAUUUACUGGGCGUAAAGCGUGUGUAGGCGGUUUGAUAAGUUGGAUGUGAAAGCUCCUGGCUUAACUGGGAGAGGUCGUUCAAAACUAUCAGACUCGAGAGUGGUAGAGGGAGGUGGAAUUCCGCGUGUAGUGGUGAAAUGCGUAGAUAUGCGGAGGAACACCAGUGGCGAAAGCGGCCUCCUGGCCCAUUUCUGACGCUCAGACACGAAAGCUAAGGUAGCAAACGGGAUUAGAGACCCCGGUAGUCUUAGCUGUAAACGAUGUGAACUUAGUGUCGGUGGGGUUAAAUCCAUCGGUACUGUAGCUAACGCGAUAAGUCACCGCCUGGGACUACGGCCGCAA
rnacentral:rRNA from 1 species